CAGAUGUAUGGGCGUUGUUUGGGCACAUACACCACCUGACUGGGGAGUUUGGGAAGCCCAGGAGUGUUACGAGAGGACCCUGGACUUUGUGACGGAUGCCACAGACACACAACCCCAUCUACCUGCGCCUGGGAUCCAUCUACCUGCAGGAAGGGGAGUUUCAGAGGGCGAAAACUACUUACCUGCGCGCCUGCAAGAGCUCCCCCUCCUGCCUCACCUGGCUGGACUAGGGAUCGCCUGUUACCGGCUAGGGGAGCUGACUGAAGCAGAGAUGCACUGACAGAGGCCAACAUCCUGACAACGGGAACGCGGAGGUGUGGGGUUACCUGUCUCU